rnacentral:rRNA from 1 species
CCCUUAGACGUUCUGGGCCGCACGCGCGCUACACUGACACAGGCAACGAGCUUUCCUUUACCGAAAGGUAUGGGUAAUCUUUUGAAACGGUGUCGUGCUGGGGAUAGAUCCUUGCAAUUUUUGAUCUUAAACGAGGAAUUCCUAGUAAGCGCGAGUCAUCAACUCGCGUUGAUUACGUCCCUGCCCUUUGUACACACCGCCCGUCGCUACUACCGAUUGAAUGGCUUAGUGAGGCCUCAGGAUCCGCGCUUAAUGUGUGGAGAAUUUGGACAAACUACGUCAUUUAGAGGAAGUAAAAGUCGUAACA